CGAAUUCGCCCUUCCUACGGGAGGCAGCAGUGGGGAAUAUUGCGCAAUGGGCGGAAGCCUGACGCAGCGACGCCGCGUGGGGGAUGACGGCCUUCGGGUUGUAAACCUCUUUCGACCUUGACGAAGCCUUUCGGGGUGACGGUAGGGGUAGAAGAAGCACCGGCCAACUACGUGCCAGCAGCCGCGGUAAUACGUAGGGUGCGAGCGUUGUCCGGAAUUAUUGGGCGUAAAGAGCUCGUAGGCGGUCUGUCGCGUCGGUCGUGAAAACUUGGGGCUUAACCCUGAGCUUGCGGUCGAUACGGGCAUGACUGGAGUUCGGCAGGGGAGACUGGAAUUCCUGGUGUAGCGGUGAAAUGCGCAGAUAUCAGGAGGAACACCGGUGGCGAAGGCGGGUCUCUGGGCCGAUACCGACGCUGAGGAGCGAAAGCGUGGGGAGCGAACAGGAUUAGAUACCCUGGUAGUCCACGCCGUAAACGGUGGGCGCUAGGUGUGGGGGCCAUUCCACGGUCUCUGUGCCGCAGCUAACGCAUUAAGCGCCCCGCCUGGGGAGUACGGCCGCAAGGCUAAAACUCAAAGGAAUUGACGG
rnacentral:rRNA from 1 species